rnacentral:tRNA from 1 species
AGGCAGUUAGUUUAAUUAAAACAUUUGAUUUCGGCUCAUAAACUAUUGGUUAGAAUCCAUAACUCCCUU